rnacentral:rRNA from 1 species
CCUACGGGGUGCAGCAGUAGGGAAUAUUGCUCAAUGGGGGAAACCCUGAAGCAGCAACGCCGCGUGGAGGAUGAAGGUUUUCGGAUUGUAAACUCCUUUUGUUAGAGAAGAUAAUGACGGUAUCUAACGAAUAAGCACCGGCUAACUCCGUGCCAGCAGCCGCGGUAAUACGGAGGGUGCAAGCGUUACUCGGAAUCACUGGGCGUAAAGCGCUCGUAGGCGGGAUAGCAAGUCAGAUGUGAAAUCCUAUGGCUUAACCAUAGAACUGCAUUUGAAACUGUUAUUCUAGAGUAUGGGAGAGGUAGGUGGAAUGCUUGGUGUAGGGGUAAAAUCCGUAGAGAUCAAGAGGAAUACUCAUUGCGAAGGCGACCUGCUAGAACAUAACUGACGCUGAUGCGCGAAAGCGUGGGGAGCAAACAGGAUUAGAUACCCGUGUAGUC